UGAGGAAUAUUGGUCAAUGGGCGAGAGCCUGAACCAGCCAAGUAGCGUGCAGGAUGACGGCCCUAUGGGUUGUAAACUGCUUUUGUAUGGGGAUAAAGUCAAUCACGUGUGAUUGUUUGCAGGUACCAUACGAAUAAGGACCGGCUAAUUCCGUGCCAGCAGCCGCGGUAAUACGGAAGGUUCGGGCGUUAUCCGGAUUUAUUGGGUUUAAAGGGAGCGUAGGCCGGAGAUUAAGUGUGUUGUGAAAUGUAGACGCUCAACGUCUGACUUGCAGCGCAUACUGGUUUCCUUGAGUACGCACAACGUUGGCGGAAUUCGUCGUGUAGCGGUGAAAUGCUUAGAUAUGACGAAGAACUCCGAUUGCGAAGGCAGCUGACGGGAGCGCCACUGACGCUUAAGCUCGAAGGUGCGGGUAUCGAACAGGAUUAGAUACCCUGGUAGUCCGCACAGUAAACGAUGGAUGCCCGCUGUUGGUACCUAGUAUCAGCGGCUAAGCGAAAGCAUUAAGCAUCCCACCUGGGGAGUACGCCGGCAACGGU
rnacentral:rRNA from 1 species